UAAUACGUAGGGUGCAAGCGUUAAUCGGAAUUACUGGGCGUAAAGCGUGCGCAGGCGGCUAUGCAAGACAGAUGUGAAAUCCCCGGGCUCAACCUGGGAACUGCAUUUGUGACUGCAUGGCUAGAGUACGGUAGAGGGGGAUGGAAUUCCGCGUGUAGCAGUGAAAUGCGUAGAUAUGCGGAGGAACACCGAUGGCGAAGGCAAUCCCCUGGACCUGUACUGACGCUCAUGCACGAAAGCGUGGGGAGCAAACAGG
rnacentral:rRNA from 1 species